AUAUCAAAUCACUUUUCGUUAUCGGAAAUAUAACCAAAAGAGAUCAACUUGGAAAUACAGGAUGUGGCUUCAGUUCAUGAUAAUGUGUAUGCAGUAUGUGCCGGGUACUCCGUCCAUCUACGUCCUAACCUGGCUUCAACAUUUGGUGCGAUGGAAUUGUAAUAAUAAUUAUCCGAAUAUCGUCGAACCAGUGCAGCGUGAAAAUUAAUCUUUCGAAGUAAUAACGUUCAUCUAUCAUUCUAUCGCUACUAAUGAUAAUUAUUCAACUUCGACUGUGCAGCACGAAAAUACAAUGGCCCAGGACUGUCGAAUUCAAUACCGGACAUUUUAUUUAUGACAACAUGAUUUGUACGCGAGUUAAGAGUUACGAGGUGGAUCUUUGCCGCCUAUUGAAGACUGCAGCGACAAGACGUCCAUAAAAU
rnacentral:misc_RNA from 1 species